rnacentral:rRNA from 1 species
AGACGGGCCGCACAAGCAGUGGAGUAUGUGGUUUAAUUCGAAGCAACGCGAAGAACCUUACCUAGGUCUUGACAUCCCGAUGCUAUUUCUAGAGAUAGAAAGUUACUUCGGUACAUCGGUGACAGGUGGUGCAUGGUUGUCGUCAGCUCGUGUCGUGAGAUGUUGGGUUAAGUCCCGCAACGAGCGCAACCCUCGCCUUUAGUUGCCAGCAUUCAGUUGGGCACUCUAGAGGGACUGCCGGUGUCAAACCGGAGGAAGGUGGGAUGACGUCAAGUCCUCAUGGCCUUUAUGUCUAGGGCUACACACGUACUACAAUGGCCGGUACAAAGGGCAGCCACUCAGCGAUGAGGCGCUAAUCCCAUAAAGCCGGUCUCAGUCCGGAUCGCAGUCUGCAACUCGACUGCGUGAAGUUGGAAUCGCUAGUAAUCGCGGAUCAGCAUGCCGCGGUGAAUACGUUCCCGGGCCUU